rfam:Protomyces lactucaedebilis strain 12-1054 BCR37scaffold_27, whole genome shotgun sequence.
GCCCCGAUAGCUCAAUUGGGAGAGCGUACGACUGAAGUUCGUAAGGUCACCCGUUCGAUCCGGGUUCGGGGCA